AGACUCACGUCCUCAGGUGCAGGUGCCGGGCCCUCCUCCAACAGUGAUCUCCGGCUCCCUCCCCGCUCAGGGGCCACUCUGCUCUGAUACGGGCUCUGAUGCCGGCCUGCAGCUCCCCUGCUCUUGGUUUCUGCCUGGUGUCACCUUCUUCCACGACACCCAGUCCCAGGAUGACUGACGCCCAGGGAGAUCUGUCGCCUCUCCGCAGAGACCACGUGUGUUCACCCUCGGCAGCAACACGCUGCUCCUUCCUCAAGAUUCCGGCUGUGGGCUCCUUGGAGGAAGAGCAGAGGUGAGGCGCUUCUCAUGCCACCACAUCAGGGGUCCUGCCUCGGCCCGGCUCACUGCUGAUGUUGACCUCGGCUACCUGGCAGAGUGUGCUGGCCAGGUUUCUCCAGCAUGAAGUCACUCUCGUUUCCCUCGUAAGUUAUACUCUAGUUUAUCAAUCUUCUAGUUUAUGGCUUGUGUCUUCUCUAUGAAACCCUUGCCUAACCUCUCAGUUUCGAAGGUAUGAGAAGGAGGAGUCAAGAUUCUUUUUUCUUUUCAUGUGGAUAUCCAGUUUUGUUUUAUUUAUUUAUAUAUUUUAUAUUUUAGAGACAGGAUCUCACUCUAUCGCCCAAGCUGCGAUCACAGCUUACUGCAGCCUGAAACCCCUGGGCUCAAGGGAUCCUCCUGCCUCAGUGUGCACCUCCGUGCCUGGCCUACAUCUCUGUGUAGAGACACAGAGUCUUAUGACGUUGCCCACGCUGGUCUCAAACUUCUGGGCCCAAGCAAUCCUCCCACCUUGGCAUCCCAAAGUCCUGGGACUACAGGCAUGAGCCCCACUACGCCUGGCCUGAUAUCCAGUUAUUUCAGUACCAUGUUUCCCCCUGUGGUUUUGGCCUGCUUGUUGAAAAUCAUGGGAUGGUGCCUGUCAGCCUAUUUCUGUAAUCUCUGCUCUAUGCCAGUGAGCUAUUUCUUUAUGGCCUUACUGGUGCAAGAUUUGACAACUCUUCUGAUGGUGCCGUUCCUUUCCAGAUGGCUGUGGCUGCCCUUAGACCUUCACUUCUCUAUGAACUUCUAAAUCAUCCUGUUAAUUUAGAGGAAAAGUCCACAGGGACUCCAAUUGAGAUUUCAUUGAAUGAUUAGAUCAAUUUGUGAAGAAUUAGACAUGGUAUAUUUAGAGAUAUAUCUCUCAGAUAAUUUUUGGUGUAGAGGUUUUCACAUAUAUUGUGAAAUUUAUCCCUAAGUAUUUGAUUUUACUAUUAUAGAUAGUAUUUUUGACUUCAUUUUAAAUUAGUCAUCAGCAGUAUAUAGAAA
rnacentral:lncRNA from 1 species